UUUUUUGUUUUUUUUUUGCUUUUUUUUUUUUUUUUUUUUUUUUGUGGGGUACAUGUGUGUGUGUUGUCUCUGUUGUAAGCACUUGGGGAUAUGUCAGUAUAUAUUGAUAGUCAUAUAUAUGCAUGUGCAUGGGUUGUGUGUGCACCUGUAUGCCUGGAGGAGAGAGGGUAGCCUGGAAAGACCAGCGGAAUUUAUGAGCUUGGCCACUCACACAAUCCUUUCAGGGCUGGGCAUCGGAGCCUGGGUUGGGAUGGGUGAGCCCUGGGAGUUACU
rnacentral:lncRNA from 1 species